AUUCCUCUGCAAAGCCGUUCACGGGACACCAUGGGCCCUGAGGCAGACAAGCACCCUGACACAGAGGAGACUACAGGAAAUCACCCGAGGCGCGCAGGCCAGGCCCUGCGGUGUCCAGACCCUCAGUUUGGACCCAGGCCCCUCCCCAGGUCUUGCUCCAGGACGUGGGGGCAGAGGACAACAAAAGUCCUGUUCCAGUGAGUUUACAGAACUACAGGGGUGAGGGGAGGUGAUGAGGGAGAUGCCCUACACUGCACGCUACUAAGCGCUUUGGACAAAAGUUGACAAAAGUGGAGCAGGAGAGGCAGACCCAGCAUGUCCUGGGCUGCGGGCGGUGACGGCCUCCCAGGGUUCAACUGUGGAACCAAGCAAACAUCUGGACAUACGCCCCUCCAGGCACCAGGCGUUCUUGUUUCUGGCCAACACCACCCCACCCCAGAGGUGCGGGGAGCCCAGCAGACGCCAUCCAGCUCCUGACUAGUUAACCUGGAGUUAAUCAGAAGUCGAUGCCAUGCUGAAUUUCAUGUGUCGUCUUGACUGGGCCCCAGGAUGCCCAGAUAUUCAGCACCUUCUCCCCGUGUCCUCGCCCACCCUCCCUCUGUGCGCGUCUGUGUCCUCAUCCCUCUUGUGAUACGCCCCCAGUCAGACGGGAUGAGGGCCAACUCUAAUGACCUGACUUUAACUUAAUCACCUCCUUAAUCACCCCGUCUCCAAGUACAGCGUCGCAUUCUGAGAUCGGAGGGAAAUUUAGGGGCAGAGUCUCUACAUCCCAGGUGCAGCAAGGCCUGCAAAGGAGGUUGAAGCAGAGACCUGAGGU
rnacentral:lncRNA from 1 species